ACAACGGUGUUUUUCGACACCACCCCAAAAAAUUUCAGAAAGAUGG
rfam:Picea glauca, whole genome shotgun sequence.